rfam:Eubacterium sp. CAG:180 genomic scaffold, scf50
CAACUAAAUCCACCCUUGCGGGUGGGUGAAAUAUUGCUUCGCAAUAUGAAAUACGCUUUCAGCGUAUGAAAUCGCUG